CCUACGGGGGGCAGCAGUGAGGAAUAUUGGUCAAUGGGCGUAAGCCUGAACCAGCCAAGUCGCGUGAGGGAUGAAGGUUCUAUGGAUCGUAAACCUCUUUUAUAAGGGAAUAAAGUGUGGGACGUGUCCUGUUUUGCAUGUACCUUAUGAAUAAGGAUCGGCUAACUCCGUGCCAGCAGCCGCGGUAAUACGGAGGGUCCGAGCGUUAUCCGGAUUUAUUGGGUUUAAAGGGUGCGUAGGCGGUCUAUUAAGUCAGCGGUGGAAGUCCGUGGCUCAACCAGAGAGGUGCCGUUGAAACUAGGAGGCUUGAGUGUGGUUGAGGCAGGCGGAAUGCGUGGUGUAGCGGUGGAAUGCUUAGAUAUCACGCAGAACCCC
rnacentral:rRNA from 1 species